UACGUAGGGUGCAAGCGUUGUCCGGAAUUAUUGGGCGUAAAGAGCUCGUAGGCGGUUUGUUGCGUCGGCUGUGAAAUCCCGAGGCUCAACCUCGGGCCUGCAGUCGAUACGAGCAAACUAGAGUGUUGCAGGGGGAGACUGGAAUUCCUGGUGUAGCGGUGAAAUGCGCAGAUAUCAGGAGGAACACCGGUGGCGAAGGCGGGGUCUCUGGGCCGUAACUGACGCCUGGAGGAGCGAAAGCGUGGGGAGCAAACAGG
rnacentral:rRNA from 1 species